rnacentral:rRNA from 1 species
GAAAUGUUGGGUUAAGUCCCGCAACGAGCGCAACCCUUAUCCUUUGUUGCCAGCGGUCCGGCCGGGAACUCAAAGGAGACUGCCAGUGAUAAACUGGAGGAAGGUGGGGAUGACGUCAAGUCAUCAUGGCCCUUACGACCAGGGCUACACACGUGCUACAAUGGCGCAUACAAAGAGAAGCGACCUCGCGAGAGCAAGCGGACCUCAUAAAGUGCGUCGUAGUCCGGAUUGGAGUCUGCAACUCGACUCCAUGAAGUCGGAAUCGCUAGUAAUCGUGGAUCAGAAUGCCACGGUGAAUACGUUCCCGGGCCUUGUACACACCGCCCGUCACACCAUGGGAGUGGGUUGCAAAAGAAGUAGGUAGCUUAACCUUCGGGAGGGCGCUUACCACUUUGUGAUUCAUGACUGGGGUGAAGUCGUAACAAGGUAACCGUAGGGGAACCUGCGGUUGGAUCACCUCCUUACCUUAAAGAAGC